GGGGGAUUCAAAUGAAUUGGCUAGAUUGGUUCCUCUUCUUGUUUGUGUUUUUGUAAAUACAUGUUGUGUAUCUUGUCUCUUAGAGUAGUGUUUUGAAAAGAGAGAAAAGAAAAGAGACAAGAUGAAAAAAAAAAUACAAAAAAAUGAGAAAAAAAAAUUGUGUGAAUAAUGGAGUCAAGAAGAGGAUUGAAUUAGAGGUUUUGGGUGUGAUUUGACUGUGUUUAAACUUGUUCCCCAUUGCUCCUCUAUUCAUUUUGGUUUGUAGCUUCUUAUCCAGAUAUAUCCUCCCUUGUCCUUGGCCCCA
rnacentral:lncRNA from 1 species